GAGGGCACUCUUUCAUCACAAUGGUUCAUUUUUGCUGGCAGGAUUUCUUCCCACAAAGCACUUCCCAGCUGCUUUUCCCAAGGGACAGAAGGUGGAGACGUAAGAAAACUGUCUACAUGCCAGAUGGGCAUCAGCUGCACGCAUGCCAAGCAGCCGGGAUGUGAGAAAGUCAGGGAGGCAACGGGGGCACAACAGAGAAAAAGGGAGAGGACAGACAAGUUGGCAUUCCUCUGUGUCUGCCAGCCUGCGUUAUAUCCACGUCUGUGUCCAUGGUUUGCAUUGGCAAGAAGACCUGAAUAUGCCUGAUUGUAUAUUCUACUACUCCUUGACUUUCAAAUCACAGAAGCUGCAGUUGUAAAACUCUCUCAUGUCUUGAUAUGUAGUUCACAGUUGUAGGUACCCUUUAUGGCAAAGCUUGACUGAUUAUUUGCCUGGAAAUCAAACUAUUUGUUGAAGACAAAACCAACCAUAAGAUACAUUUAGGUUUAAGUUAGUUUGACAGAAAGAAAACAGCUGAAAGAUGCCAUUUAGCAAUAAUAAUUUCUUUGAAAUUUUGACAAAUUAUAUUUUUCUGAUGAAGACCUGUAACAUUAAGGUGCCUUAGAUUAUUACCAGAGGGGACCUGAGUAAUUUUGGUAGGUUAGGUAGAUUUUCUCCAUUAGUGCAUACUGGCUGUCAUUUAGGUAACUUUGAGACUCAAAGUCUUAGAAAUUGCUUUGUAACCCUUUUCAGACUGAGCGAUGUCAAUUAAUUAGUUUUUCAUCUAUUCUUCAAUUUCCUUAGAAAGUCUUUUUGCCGACUUCAAGUUGCCGGACAGGUUCUAUUUAGGCAAUUUUCCUGGUUUUACAGGCAUGGGAGCAAUCAGGGCUUGGUCAGGCCAGUAAAAUGUAACCAAAAAAAUGGGAUUAAUCACAGUUAAUUCAUGAUUUAACAAUAUGCCAGAUUGUUUUUUAUCGCUUUUUUCUCUAUAACUAAAUUCAACAUUUGAAAACUUCUUUUUACUUACUUUGUCUAAUAGUGAAAUUUGUUUUAUGAUCUGAAACAUCUAAAUGUGAUUUAAAAAAAAAGAACCAACCGAGUAAAUCUGCAAGGAGAAUAUUCAUGGAACUGUAGAUGUUUACAUGUUAUAUUGUGAACCAGGUGUUCCACACAAUGAAGGUCAAUUAUCUUUUA